rnacentral:rRNA from 1 species
GACGAACGCUGGCGGCGUGCUUAACACAUGCAAGUCGAACGGAAAGGCCCUGCUUUUGUGGGGUGCUCGAGUGGCGAACGGGUGAGUAACACGUGAGUAACCUGCCCUUGACUUUGGGAUAACUUCAGGAAACUGGGGCUAAUACCGGAUAGGAGCUCCUGCUGCAUGGUGGGGGUUGGAAAGUUUCGGCGGUUGGGGAUGGACUCGCGGCUUAUCAGCUUGUUGGUGGGGUAGUGGCUUACCAAGUCUUUGACGGGUAGCCGGCCUGAGAGGGUGACCGGCCACAUUGGGACUGAGAUACGGACCAGAGUCCUACGGGAGGCAGCAGUGGGGAAUAUUGCACAAUGGGCGGAAGCCUGAUGAAGCAACGCCGCGUGCGGGAUGACGGCCUUCGGGUUGUAAACCGCUUUCGCCUGUGACGAAGCGUGAGUGACGGUAAUGGGUAAAGAAGCACCGGCUAACUACGUG